AUUGAACGCUGGCGGCAUGCUUUACACAUGCAAGUCGAACGGUAACAGGCCUUCGGGUGCUGACGAGUGGCGAACGGGUGAGUAAUGCAUCGGAACGUGCCCAGAGGUGGGGGAUAACGCAGCGAAAGCUGUGCUAAUACCGCAUGUGAUCUGAGGAUGAAAGCGGGGGACCAGGCAGCAAUGUUUGGCCUCGCGCCUUUGGAGCGGCCGAUGUCAGAUUAGGUAGUUGGUGAGGUAAAGGCCUACCAAGCCGACGAUCUGUAGCUGGUCUGAGAGGACGACCAGCCACACUGGGACUGAGACACGGCCCAGACUCCUACGGGAGGCAGCAGUGGGGAAUUUUGGACAAUGGGCGCAAGCCUGAUCCAGCAAUGCCGCGUGCGGGAAGAAGGCCUUCGGGUUGUAAACCGCUUUUGUACGGAACGAAAAGGCUCUGGCUAAUACCUGGGGCUGAUGACGGUACCGUAAGAAUAAGCACCGGCUAACUACGUG
rnacentral:rRNA from 1 species